rnacentral:rRNA from 1 species
GAUGAACGCUGGCGGUAUGCUUAACACAUGCAAGUCGAACGGACUCUUCGGAGUUAGUGGCGGACGGGUGAGUAACGCGUGAGAAUCUGGCUUUGGGUUCGGGACAACCACUGGAAACGGUGGCUAAUACCGGAUGUGCCGAGAGGUAAAAGAGAAAUUGCCUGAAGAUGAGCUCGCGUCUGAUUAGCUAGUUGGUGAGGUAAAGGCUCACCAAGGCAGCGAUCAGUAGCUGGUCUGAGGGGAUGACCAGCCACACUGGGACUGAGACACGGCCCAGAAGCCUACGAGAGGAAGCAGUGGGGAAGUAUCCGCAAUGGGCGAAAGACUGACGGAGCAAUACCGCGUGAGGGAAGAAGGCUCUUGGGGUGUAAAACUCUUUUCUUAGGGAAGAACAAAAUGACGGUACCUAAGGAAUCAGCAUCGGCUAACUCCGUG